CCACUUCGGUGGGGAUUAGUGGCGAACGGGUGAGUAACACGUGGGCAAUCUGCCCUUCACUCUGGGACAAGCCCUGGAAACGGGGUCUAAUACCGGAUACCACUCUCACAGGCAUCUGUGGGGGUUGAAAGCUCCGGCGGUGAAGGAUGAGCCCGCGGCCUAUCAGCUUGUUGGUGAGGUAACGGCUCACCAAGGCGACGACGGGUAGCCGGCCUGAGAGGGCGACCGGCCACACUGGGACUGAGACACGGCCCAGACUCCUACGGGAGGCAGCAGUGGGGAAUAUUGCACAAUGGGCGAAAGCCUGAUGCAGCGACGCCGCGUGAGGGAUGACGGCCUUCGGGUUGUAAACCUCUUUCAGCAGGGAAGAAGCGAAAGUGACGGUACCUGCAGAAGAAGCGCCGGCUAACUACGUGCCAGCAGCCGCGGUAAUACGUAGGGCGCAAGCGUUGUCCGGAAUUAUUGGGCGUAAAGAGCUCGUAGGCGGCUUGUCACGUCGGGUGUGAAAGCCCGGGGCUUAACCCCGGGUCUGCAUUCGAUACGGGCUAGCUAGAGUGUGGUAGGGGAGAUCGGAAUUCCUGGUGUAGCGGUGAAAUGCGCAGAUAUCAGGAGGAACACCGGUGGCGAAGGCGGAUCUCUGGGCCAUUACUGACGCUGAGGAGCGAAAGCGUGGGGAGCGAACAGGAUUAGAUACCCUGGUAGUCCACGCCGUAAACGGUGGGAACUAGGUGUUGGCGACAUUCCACGUCGUCGGUGCCGCAGCUAACGC
rnacentral:rRNA from 1 species